rnacentral:rRNA from 1 species
AUUGAACGCUGGCGGCAGGCCUAACACAUGCAAGUCGAACGAGUGGCGGACGGGUUGGUAAUGUCUGGGAAACUUCCUGAUGGAUGGGGACAACUACUGGAAACGGUUGCCACUUCCGCCUACCUUCACAUGUGCCCCAAUGGGAUUAGCUUGUUGGUGGGGUAACGGCGCACCAAGGCGACGAUCCCUUGCUGGUCUGAGAGGAUGACCAGCCACACUGGAACUGAGAAACGGUCCAGACUCCUACGGGAGGCAGCAGUGGGGAAUAUUGCACAAUGGGCGAAAGCCUGAUACAGCCAUGCCGCGUGUAUGAAGAAGGCCUUCGGGUUGUAAAGGACUUUCAGCGGGGAGGCGUUACCCGCAGAAGAAGCACCGGCUAACUCCGUGCCAGCAGCCGCGGUAAUUC